GCUGAUUUUGCCUACACCUCAAUUAAAUAGCUUCAUUUUAACGGGAACAACUGCUUUCUCCCGUGGGUCCUCUCAAUCCAGGGCACUAGGUGUGCAAGGACAGAAGAGGGCACAUUCCCAGAUGUCUCUAGGCGUGUGUUACGCAUCUGAGAUCAGGCUUUCUCCUCACAUCCAGAGGCUGAGCCUCCCACCCACCCCGGAGAAUGGUCCUGCUCAGUACCGUGGCCAUUUUCCUUUGGAAGUAUUUCCCCCAUGCUGUGUAACUUCUGCCCUUACUGUGGACUCCCUGCUGAAUUUCUCUGUGGCAUGCAGGCCUGCAAAGGAUGGCAUCUCAAACUCCAUUUUACAUUGGUCCACCUGGAAAAUUGUCCUUGGAAGUUUCCAUCUCCUCCCCAAGUCUAAGAAAAAAUUGAUUGAAAAAUGGUUGAAAUUGUAUUAACAAAUUUUCAAGAGGGAACAGAUUUUUUUGCUGCCAAGCUGUAUAAUGGGUGUUUUUGAGAGGUCGUUAACUUCAACAGUAUAGUCAAAAACAGUGUUACACCUCGCACUGCAUCCUUCGUUAAGCAAUUAAGUUACUGAUAGGCUUUUACAUUUAUUUACCUUGAUGGAAAGAUAUGUUUACUCAACCUGAGUACAAAUCAACAUGAGGAGGGUGAAGUUCAGAGUAAAUUUGACUAAUGAUGUUGUGUUUUCAUCCUUAAAAGAAAGAAAAAAAGCCUCCUUGCUUUUGAUGCUAUUUUAUCUUCAUUGGAAGGGAUCCGAAAUGAUCCCAACUGUCAUGUGAGCACUCACUUAGGCUCAGAUCGUCUUUGAUUGCAGCUGAACAUCUCUCUCUGUUGGCUCAUACCUUCCCUUAUAUGAAUACAGUGUACUGCACUUCAGGUUGUUUAUUGAACAGCGUUUUAACUCUUCCUCUGUGGAUACUCUCAUGAUUAUAUAUCUUUAAGCAAAAUAUGGGCUGCAGCCACCUUUGCCUGGGGAGAUGUUAAUGCAGCUGCAACACUGAUGUGAAGGAAGAAUUUCCUCUCGGUUUCAGAAUAACUUCUAAAAUACAAACCUGAGUGGUACAAGUCAUAUUCCUUUCAGUGAACCUUAAUUAUCUCACCUUUUCUUUCAGGCCUGCUCUGUUCUCCAGCCUUGUUUUGUGGAUUUCUAUCUCUCCAAAUAAUUCCUCAGCAUCCCCUUGAAUGGCAUCUACCGCACUAGAGAGCUUUUCCAACCCACAAGCCUGAAACAACUUCCCACAACUGAAAUGACUCCAGCACAGCUAUUCCCUAGAAGACAUCCCUCCUGAUUUCUUGUGGGGCCUGUAAGAUAUCUGAAGUUGUAGCACAGCAAAGACAUGGAAAAGACACUGAGGUCCUAUUGCUCCUGUCGGAAAAUUCUGCUCGCUACAGCAUGAGUUGGAUUGGGCCCAGAGAAAGCAAAUACACACAAGUAAAGAGUUCACCAUACAAGCAAGGAAAAUCACAGAUAACAGGUGCAGACAAAUUAGCAACGUACCUUUUAGGUCAUCCAGUACAGCUCCGUGACACUGUGAGAUUGUUUUCUAUGGCAUAUUUUCAGGUGUUUUGUGUGCCUAGAUUAAAUGUCCUAAGUGAUGUCAUGUCCCUAGGGAGAGAUUGUGCUGCCUAGAGUAUCUUGUUGUCAGAAGUUUUUUUUUCCCUUUCUUAACAUCACCAUAUUUCUCCUAGUUACAUCCUUUUGCAAACUCCUUAUUUUCCUUCACUAAUGCAAUUUUCUUCCAGUAUCUUUUAACUACUGUGUUUAGUUAGCAUAAAGCCAACCCACAGCUAUUUAGAUCAUUUAAUCUUCCCUAACAAAUCAGUCCUUUCAGUCUCCUGGUUAUUCCUCCUUUCCUCUUGUCACACUCCUGCCUGUCAGUAUCUUUUUUAGUUCUGAGAUUUUAAAGAUGUGAUGCAUUUCUCUGAACUAAGGACAGAUCCGGUACAGAGCUGAGCACCCUCCUGAUGCGCCUAGGGAAAGCUGCCAGCAGUCUGGACAGACACACAGAUAGUAUCCUGCUCAAACCACUUCUCUUGUGCCACUUAUUCUAUUGGCCAACAAAACCCUGUUAAAACAGUUAACCUAGUAGUUCAAAAAA
rnacentral:lncRNA from 1 species